CUCUCCAGCAACAUGGAACUGAUACUCAGUGUAAAACAAUCAGAAUAGAAGAACAGGGACAUUGACCAUGAAUGAAGACAAUCCUGAGAAUACCAAUGAGGGAGGAUGCUACUGGGCAGCUUUCCAGGGGCCAGCAGCACCCAGUGAGGCCAGACAGUUUGUACUGAAAGGAAACAGUUCAUUUUCUUAAACGAAGAAAGAGAUUCUGAGAAGCAGAGAUUCCGAUUCCAAGCAAUCUCCAGAAUACAAUUUCCAGCUACUGGUCUAAAGUAUUUGGCGCUUUUAGCCGAG